rnacentral:rRNA from 1 species
CCUACGGGGGGCAGCAGUGAGGAAUAUUGGUCAAUGGACGCAAGUCUGAACCAGCCAAGUAGCGUGCAGGAUGACGGCCCUCCGGGUUGUAAACUGCUUUUAGUUGGGAAUAAAAGGGGGCUCGUGAGCUCCGCAUUGUAUGUACCAUCAGAAAAAGGACCGGCUAAUUCCGUGCCAGCAGCCGCGGUAAGACGGAAGGUCCGGGCGUUAUCCGGAUUUAUUGGGUUUAAAGGGAGCGUAGGCCGGCUUUUAAGUCAGAUGUGAAAGGCCGGGGCUUAACCGGGGAAUUGCAGUUGACACUGGUGGCCGUGAGAGGACACGGGGAAGCCGGAAUGUAUGGUGUAGCGGUGAAAUGCUUAGAGAUCAUGAAGAACUCCGAUCGCGAAGGCAAGUGUCCGGGGUGCAACUGACGCUGAGGCUCGAAAGUGCGGGUAUCAAACAGGAUUAGAUACCCGGGUAGUC